rnacentral:rRNA from 1 species
AGUGAACGCUGGCGGUAGGCCUAACACAUGCAAGUCGAACGGCAGCACAGUAAGAGCUUGCUCUUACGGGUGGCGAGUGGCGGACGGGUGAGGAAUACAUCGGAAUCUACUUUUUCGUGGGGGAUAACGUAGGGAAACUUACGCUAAUACCGCAUACGACCUACGGGUGAAAGCAGGGGAUCUUCGGACCUUGCGCGAUUGGAUGAGCCGAUGUCGGAUUAGCUAGUUGGCGGGGUAAAGGCCCACCAAGGCGACGAUCCGUAGCUGGUCUGAGAGGAUGAUCAGCCACACUGGAACUGAGACACGGUCCAGACUCCUACGGGAGGCAGCAGUGGGGAAUAUUGGGCAAUGGGCGCAAGCCUGAUCCAGCCAUGCCGCGUGGGUGAAGAAGGUCUUCGGGUUGUAAAGCCCUUUUGUUGGGAAAGAAAAGCAGUGGGUUAAUACCCCGCUGUUCUGACGGUACCCAAAGAAUAAGCACCGGCUAACUUCGUG